CCUACGGGCGGCUGCAGUGGGGAAUAUUGCACAAUGGGCGAAAGCCUGAUGCAGCAACGCCGCGUGAGUGAUGAAGGCCUUAGGGUUGUAAAGCUCUUUCACCAGGGAAGAUAAUGACGGUACCUGGAGAAGAAGCUCCGGCUAACUCCGUGCCAGCAGCCGCGGUAAUACGGAGGGAGCUAGCGUUAUUCGGAAUUACUGGGCGUAAAGCGUGCGUAGGCGGGUCUUCAAGUCAGAGGUGAAAGCCUGGAGCUCAACUCCAGAACUGCCUUUGAAACUAGAUCUUGAAUCCUGGAGAGGUGAGUGGAAUUCCGAGUGUAGAGGUGAAAUUCGUAGAUAUUCGGAAGAACACCAGUGGCGAAGGCGACUCACUGGACAGGUACUGACGCUGAGGCACGAAAGCGUGGGGAGCAAACAGGAUUAGAUACCCUAGUAGUC
rnacentral:rRNA from 1 species